UGACGCCAUAUUGGACAGAUGAGGGACAGUCCCCAACAUGCAGCGCGUCACGCACGGCGGCGCCGCGCGCACAGCGGGCAAUCCACGGCGGGAGGCGGCUGCAGCUCCAACCGCGCGCUCAACAUCACCCGCCACAAAGCACAUCAAAGCCAGCCUCCCUCCAAACCUUGACCCUCAUCAGUUUGCUUAUAGAGCAAACAGAUCGACGGAGGACGCAAUCGCCGCUGCCCUCCACACUGUACUGAGCCAUCUGGAACACCUGGGAAACUAUGUAAGGAUCCUUUUUAUUGACUAUAGUUCAGCUUUCAAUACAAUCAUCCCUGACAUACUAGUCAACAAGCUGUCGGACUUAGACUUCCCACCUCUCACCUGGAUAAAGGACUUCCUCAAUAACCGCCCACAAACAGUCAAAUGGGCCACCACUGCUCCUCCACCCUCACUCUCAGCACUGGUUCUCCACAGGGCUGUGUACUGAGUCCACUCCUCUAUACUCUGUACACUUAAGACUGUACUCCCAUCAACUCCACAAACUCCAUUAUGAAAUUUGCAGAUGACACCACAUAUCAGGAGGAGACGAGGCAGCGUAAAGAGAUGAGGUCCUGAAGCUGUUAGAGUGGUGUUCCACGAACUAACUGGCACUUAAUAUCAGCAAAACAAAGGAAAUGGUCAUCGACUACAGAAGGCACAGAGCGGACCCUGCCCCCCUCUUCAUCAACGGGGACUGUGUCAAGAGGGUUUCCACCUUCAAAUUCCUGGGAACGCACAUCGCGGAGGACCUCUCCUGGUCUGCCAACACUUCAGCGGUGGUAAAAAAGACCCAGCAGCGAUUGCACUUCCUGAGGGUGCUAAGGAAGAACAGUUUAGAGGAGAAGCUGCUCGUCACCUUCUACCGCUCCACCAUCGAGAGUGUGCUGGCAUAUUGUAUCACGCUGUGGUAUGCUGGCUGCUCAGCAGCAGAAAGGAGAGCACUGCAAAGAGUGAUCAAAACUGCCCAGAAAAUCACUGGCUGCCCUCUGCCUUCCCUGGAAGACAUCUCCAGCUCUCGUUGCCUCCUUAGAGCCAGGAAAAUAAUCAAAGACCCCUUCCAUCCUGGACAGUCACUGUUCAACCUCCUGCCCUCUGGUAGGCGGUGCAGGUGCGUCAAAUUCCGGACAAACAGACUCAAGAACAGUUUCUUUCCCUGGGCCAUUAGAACUCUAAAUUCCUCAACUAUCUACACGACAUGAGAAUGCUGUCAUCAAUUCCACUAUAAAACAGACCACUCAGUUAAUACUUCCUCUUUUUUUAAAUCCUUUAAAGUAUUUACUAAAUUUAAAGUGUAAUAUUCUCCCAGUGCAAAAUAACGUAUUGAAUGCAUUGGAUGUGACUUUGUCUUGUUUGUACUUGUUUUGGUUGCACUGAUCAGGAGUAGCACUCCUAAUUUUGUUGUAUUUCUAAGUACAAUGGCAAUAAAGGCUUUUUAUUAUUAU